GCACCAAGAAGACCAUUAUGAUGGAUUCAAGAGAAUCAAAAGUGAAGAAUCAAGUUACAAUAAAUAUGUCGAUUACAAAUAUGCCUACAGAUACACAAGUGGUUUUCAGAUAUCUUUGCUUGAUUUGGAGCUGCUCAAAGAAAAAGGAUGGCCACAUAUAUAUGGUAGUUACUUCCAUGUCACAAAGGUGCUCUUCAGUAGAUGAACUGCACACCUGAACGCAUCACUAAUGGAAAGAUUCAGCAUCUUGGUCGGCUGCUUGCGGCGGGGCUUGUGGCUGGUGGUUGCGGCAGUGGCAGAGCAGUGUCCGAGAGCGCGGCGCAAGCAGUGGCCCCUGCUAUGUGGGCUGAUGGGAGCACACCAUCCAAGCAGCACUUCCAAGUAUGACAAUGUCCGCUCUACACCAAGGUACGUGGGCACUCGUGCAAAGAUCUAACAUCUUCACCGACUAGGACUAAGUUUAGCUCUCCAUAUGGUGCCCAUUUUUUUACGGGUAAGGCAAGAGCUCUGCCAAUUCAUUAAAGUUGAGGGGAAACUGUAAAGAAGGCAUAAAAAGAAGAAGGAAAAGCGCCACAAAAUAAAUGGAGGUCUAAAUACUGGAUGAGAUUUUCAUUGCUGGCAUUCUUCAUGAACCUGUCAAGGAGAACAUUUCAAUACUAAUUGUUGCAAAGGUGUUCUCACCACCGGCUAGCAAGAAGAGAGUAUGAUUUUUCAGUGCUCACUGUUGUAUGCUUGAUUCACAAGGAGCUUCUCAAUGUUGUACAUGUAG